rnacentral:rRNA from 1 species
GGGUUAAGUCCCGCAACGAGCGCAACCCUUGCCUUUAGUUGCCAGCAGUUCGGCUGGGCACUCUAAAGGGACUGCCGGUGUUAAACCGGAGGAAGGUGGGGAUGAACGUCAAGUCCUCAUGGCCUUUAUGACCAGGGCUACACACGUACUACAAUGGCCGAUACAAAGGGCAGCGACACUGCGAGGUGAAGCCAAUCCCGUAAAAAUCGGUCUCAGUCCGGAUUGGAGUCUGCAACUCGACUCCAUGAAGUUGGAAUCGCUAGUAAUCGUGGAUCAGCAUGCCACGGUGAAUACGUUCCCGGGCCUU